AAGCACAAUUAAGUGUCUUGUGGCCUUUUCGAGUUUCAUUCUUAUGCAAGAUCAAGUUCGAGUUUACAGAAGAGCUGAGCUUUUGGUUGUGGUUUGUCCCUUUUGAAGGCCGGUGACAAUU